GACGUAGGGGGCAAGCGUUGUCCGGAUUUAUUGGGCGUAAAGAGCGUGUAGGCGGCCUGACAGGUCUGCUGUGAAAACUCGAGGCUCAACCUCGAGAUGUCGGCGGAAACCGUCUGGCUAGAGUCCGGAAGAGGAGAGUGGAAUUCCUGGUGUAGCGGUGAAAUGCGCAGAUAUCAGGAAGAACACCUAUGGCGAAGGCAGCUCUCUGGGACGGUACUGACGCUGAGACGCGAAAGCGUGGGGAGCGAACAGG
rnacentral:rRNA from 1 species